rnacentral:rRNA from 1 species
AGGCCGAAGCAACUAAAAAAUUUCAGACCCAUCAGUCUUCGUAAUGUGUUGUACAAGAUUUCUUCCAAGGUUAUUGCUAAUCGUUUGAAGGUGUUGCUACCAGUUAUCAUUUCUGAUUUUUAG